UCAAAAUAGAAAAUACUAGCUAUACUUCAUAUCUAGUGAGUUAACUUGCUCUCACUUUUCAUCAGAACAAAGAUGAAGGAAAAGAGUUAGAUGUUCUCCUUCCAGCUCAUUUUUAGGUGUGUAGCCUCUUAAUUCUAGCCCUCUGAUACUAGAAACUACCCUCACCAGAAUGCUCACACUCUUUUAGAAAAAUCUACAAUACUUCUUUUUCUUAUUUCAUUUUUAAGGAGGAAAUAAGGAAAGUUUUGUGUUGAAAAGAGUGGCAGGAGGAAAAAAAAAAACAAAACUGAAGAGGAGACAUUCUGGAAUAUGAAACUGUUCUCUCAAUUUCCAGGAAGAGGCAUGGCAUAUUUUUUUCUUCAUCAUAUCACCAAAGGAAAAAUAAAAGAAUCAUUGAAAGUAUACAAGGUAGGGAAAUAUCAGUCUAUUCGUUCUUACAGUCCAGUUGUCAGCAUACCAU
rnacentral:lncRNA from 1 species